UAGCUCAGUGGCAGAGCUCCCGAUUUGUAUGCGGGAAGACCUGGGUACGAUUCCCGG
rnacentral:tRNA from 1 species